rnacentral:rRNA from 1 species
AUACGGAGGGUGCAAGCGUUGUUCGGAAUUAUUGGGCGUAAAGAGCAUGUAGGCGGACUAUUAAGUCUGGUGUGAAAGCCCGGGGCUCUACCCCGGAAGUGCAUUGGAUACUGGUAGUCUUGAGUAUGGGAGAGGAAAGUGGAAUUCCGAGUGUAGGAGUGAAAUCCGUAGAUAUUCGGAGGAACACCAGUGGCGAAGGCGGCUUUCUGGACCAAUACUGACGCUGAGAUGCGAAAGCGUGGGGAGCGAACAGGAUUAGAAACCCUAGUAGUCC